UACGAAGGGGGCUAGCGUUGUUCGGAUUUACUGGGCGUAAAGCGCACGUAGGCGGCUUGUUAAGUCAGGGGUGAAAUCCUGGAGCUCAACUCCAGAACUGCCUUUGAUACUGGCGAGCUUGAGUUCGGGAGAGGUGAGUGGAACUGCGAGUGUAGAGGUGAAAUUCGUAGAUAUUCGCAAGAACACCAGUGGCGAAGGCGGCUCACUGGCCCGAUACUGACGCUGAGGCACGAAAGCGUGGGGAGCAAACAGG
rnacentral:rRNA from 1 species